AAGAUUUAUAUAUAUUUGUGGGUAUUUUUUAGAGGGAGUUUUUAAAAACCUCUGCAAUUUAUUUUAUAGGUGGCAUUUUCAUAAACUCCCACCAAAUACCUAACAAUAAAACCCUACUGUUAUCAAUUAUUACCACAUAAUUAAAAUUAAAAUUUCUUCAAAAUCCAAGAAACACUCGAAGAGAAAGAAGAGAAAGGUGAGAGUCACCGAACCCCUAAGCUCACGAUCUAGACCGCCAUCUCCAUCGCCGCCGUCACCGCCGCUAAAGUUAAUCUCCAUUCUGCUUUUGCUAUAAAGCUACUGAGAUUGAGCCAAGGCGCUUCCUUCAUCAACGCGUUUUCAGAUCUAACUGCAACGCCCAAGCCUCUGAGAUCGAGAGAAACUGCUUCUUCAGUUAACUCUCCUUGGGCAAUGAUGCUCGUGUUCUCCAUCGACAUUCUAUCCUUUUUGAGAGGAAUGAGAGGCUAUUUUAUAAGCUUCUGAUUGAUAACAUAGAGGAACUGCAGAGGAACUGCUUCUUGUUGUUUACACUCCAACUGUUGGAGAAGCCUGCUAGAAAUAUGGAAGUAUUUUUCGUCGACCGCAGUGUCUAUACAUCAUAUUGAAAGUGAAGUAUGGUUUUUUAUUUGUAUUUAUUGUUUUGUUUCAUCAUUUAGCCUUUGAGGUGAAAAAAAAGAAAGAAAGAAAGAAAGAUAAGAAGAGAUACUAAGUGUUUGAGACUCUACAGAGGCUAGAUCCUUGAAGUACUGAAAAACUGGCUAGAGAAGAGCACUCAAUUUGUUGUCACUAAUGACGAGCGUAUAUUAGGACUAGGAGAUCUUGGUUGCCAAAGGAAAAGCCAGUUCUAGACUCGGAACUUUGGCAUGCAUGUGCUGGUCCCCUUGACAAUGCAUUAGUUGCUUCUUGCAGGAACUUGGCAUCAAAAGGAUUUUCUGGAACACUUUCUCCCUCAAUUGCCAAAUUGAAAUACUAAUAUGUUGGAGUUGCAGGACAACAAUCUUGCAGGCCCUUUACCUGACUACAUCGCCAACUUAACGCGCCUCGAAUAUCUUAAUCUUGCUGACAAUAAUUUCAGUGGUUCUGUCCCGGCUACUUGGGGCCGACUUUCAAGUCUAAAGCAUAUGUACUUUUCAAGUCUAAAG